AGAAGCCAGAAGGCCGGGGCGGAGUGGGUUGUCCAAGAGCUUGUCUUGUCCUCUUGCCCUGGCCACAGCCGGGAAGCCCUGGGCAGGCGCCCGUGGAUAGCUGGCACGCUCAGCCUUUGGUGGAGAACUGAGAAAGUCUGAAGCAGGAAGGUGGAAAAACAUUUCGUGCUCAGGGAGGAAACGUCUUCACCCCGGUUUACAGGAUGACACGUCAGCAGGGCCCUCACCAGAUGCUGGCCCCUUGAUCUCAGACUUCCCGGCCUCCUGCGCUGCCAGCCUAAUACACUUCUCUUCGUUGUAAAUUACUCAGUCUGUGAUAUUCUGUGAUAGCAACAGAAAACAGACGAAGACGCAGGCCAAGAUUCCUUGGUGGUCCACAGACCCUGGAGUAAGAAUCUCUGCCCUAGGGGAUGACAGGACUGUAAAAGGAAGGGACCUGGGUCCCUGAAUCACACGGGGGAAGUCACCUGCUGAAUCAGAACGCCUCAACAGCUAGCUAGCCAAGAAAUAAACGGAGAGCGUGGCAACCCA